UGCUAGCCUGUGUAGCAACCCAGUGGGUUAGGGCUGUUCCGGGCGUGCCUUUUAGGCUGUAUAGGCUUAAAAUAUGCUGUUAAAUCGACAAAGUUUGGUAUCCAUAUCGUUCAUAAUGCAUUUCGAGCUGGGUAUGCAACAAUACCUUCACCAAUUAACCUUUUUUUGAAAUAGCUUUAUCUUGAUUGUAUUAAACUGCACAGGGUGAUAUUGGUGCAGCCACAACCGUAUCUUGUUGGCAAGAGAUAGAUGGUACAAAAUACGAUGGAUUCCCUUACACAGUCUGGAGACAAGGCAGUGGUAAAACCGAAAUCAAGGUACAAGCUCCUUUAGCCUUAUGACAGGACGUCAUUACAUCCUUUGUGGCAAACCCCAGCAUGCAACACUCGUUGGAUUUAAAAAGAAAGACGUUCGCCACCAGAGUUUCGUGGAGAGCAAAAGACAUCCCCUAAAAGAACAAGCACCAAACACACGAAAACGGCUUUGUAGAUCAUUGUGUCUUGAGAAUGAGUGACCUGUUGACUUCAGU